rnacentral:rRNA from 1 species
GACGAACGCUGGCGGCGUGCCUAAUACAUGCAAGUCGAACGCAGUGGGGACGAGUAAGUAACACGUGGGUAACCUGCCAUCAGAGGGGAUAAAACUUGGCAACAGCUGCUAAACCGCUACUGGUGGAUUCACUCGGGGUGCAUUAGCUAGUUUGGUGGGUAACGGCUCACCAAGUCCACGAGGCAUAGCUGACCUGAGAGGUGUACCGGCCACACUGGGACUGAGACACGGCCCAGACUCCUACGGGAGGCAGCAGUGGGGAAUAUUAGGCAAUGGACGAAAGUCUGACCGAGCAACGCCGCGUGAGUGAAGAAGGUUUUCGGAUCGUAAAGCUCUGUUGUUAGAGAAGCGGUAUCUAACCAGAAAGCCACGGCUAACUACGUGCCAGCAGCCGCGGUAAUAC